UUUUUUUUUUUUUUUGGUGUGCGUGUUCCUCUAAGUGUCUGCUUUGGUCUGGUUGUGCUCACUUCCCGUAUAACUGUAUAUUUUAUGUAAUAAAAUGUUAUAAAUAAAAUAGAAACCCCAACUACCUGACCACUCUCUUCAUUCUCACCCCAGGGAUAACCACUUUGUUGAAGUUGAUGUUUAUCCUUCUAAUGCAAGGCAUUCUUUUUCCUUUGGUUUUUACAAACAUGAAUUAUCUAUGUCUCUCUAUACUUGUCUGAAUGUAACUUCAUUUGAGGAGUGUGUGUAUGUGUGAGUGUGAUUUAAUAUAUCCAGGUCACAAAAGGUGCUCACUGGUCUCUCCUCUCUCUGGAGAAAGUUUUUAAAAGAGAAUUCUUGGCCCCAGCUAACUGUGGGACCAGCUAUCUGCCCAUUCUUCCCUUGCUGCACCCACAAACCCUCCUGGAGACCAAGAGACUCUGGAAACCUUCCUUACCCAGUGGCUUGAUCCCAGGAGGCUGGAUAUAGCCAAGCUGCCUCAGAUCCUAAUAUUCACUCUGACUUCCAAGUUCACUUGAGCAAAUGCUGGCCUGCUGACCUAACCUGAGAAGUGAGUCAGACCUUGACGCUCCAGGCCGACCUCUUCCCGGUACCAUUAAGGGUCGUCCUCUGCCUCCCACCUUGGUCCAUUAAGAUCUCAGAUGGAGGGAACCUGGACUCUGCCCCAAUUCCAGAUCUUAAGCUGCUGCUCUUUGCCUCCUGCCUCCACAAAAUACUUGCCUGUUGCCCUCACAGGCACCUCCCUUGGGGUCCAAAAGCCCGAUUUCUGAUCCUUCUGAUGGCUAAUUCCUCUUUUUCAGCCCCUCACCAUCCUGGACCUCUUUCCUAAAAGGCUUCAGAAAAGAUAAAGGUGUGGAACUUCUGGGACUAGACUAUUGUCUUAGCCUUCUCUUUCACUUUCCCAUCUCCGUGUUGUGAGCGCCCCUUCCUCCAUCUCCGUCAUCAAUACCUUAACCAUCUUUUAUGACUUAGUUCAAGUGUCACCUCCUCUAGGGAUUUAUCCUUCAGGCCACUACACUUGAGUAGCUUGCUUUCUUUUCCUUAACCCCCAUCCCAGUGCCGUCGAGUAGAUUCCAACUCAUAGCGACCUUAUAGGACAGAGUAGAACUGCCCCAUAGAUUUUCCAAGGAGCGCCUGGCGGAUUCAAACUGCCGACCUUUUGGUUAGCAGCCGUAACACUUAACCCCCAUAGCACUAUUUUUUGUGUGUGUGUGUGUGCACCAUUUUAACCAUUCCAAAGUGUUCAUUUUAGUAUAGUGACAUUACUUUCACCAUGUUGUGCAACCAUCACCACUAUUGAUUUCUAAAAGUUGCUUUUAUCUCCCUAAACUCAGUACCUCUUCAGAAAUAACUUCCUAUUCCCUUCUCUUCCAACCCCUGGUAACCACUAAUAAAUUUGGUUUCUAUGUACUUGAGGAAACCCUGGUGGCGUAGCGGUUAAGUGCUACGGCUGAUAUCCAAAGGGUCGGGAGUUCAAAUCUGCCAGGUGCUCAUUGGAAACUCUUAUGGGGCAGUUCUACUUUGUCCUAUAGGGUCGCUCGACUCGACGGCACUGGGUUUGGUUUGGUUUGGUUUAUGUACUUGUAUCAGAAAUCCAGUUCUCUUUGUAACUGAAUAAUAUUCCAUCGUAUGUUUAUACCGCAUUGUGUUUAUCCAUUCAUCCAUUAUGAACCCUUGGGUUAAUUUCAUCGUCUGGCUAUUGUAAAUCAUGCUGCAGUGAACAUUGGUGUCCAGGUAUUUGAGUCCCUGCUUUUAAGCCUUUUGAGUAUGUGCCUAGGAGUGGACUUGUUGGGUCAUGGUAAUUCUUUUUGAGGAACUUCCAAACUUUUUCACUGUGGUAAGAAGUGGGUGUGAAGUGGUAGCUCAUUGUGGUUUUGAUUUGCAUUUCCUUAAUGACUGAUGACAGCCGAGUAUUUUUUCAUGUGUUUAUUGAUCAUUUGUAUAUCUUCUUAGGAGAAAUAUCUGUUCAAGUUCUUUGCCCAUUUUUUGUUUUUUUUUGUUGAGAUGUAGGAGUUUAUAUAUAUAUAUAUAUAUAAAACUUGUCAGAUGUAUAGCUACCAAGUAUUUUCUCCCAUUCUGUAGGUUGUCUCUUUACGUUGUUGAUAAAGUCCUUUGCACAAAAGUUUUUAAUUUUGAUGAACUCGGAUUUGUCUAUUUUGUCUUUUGUUGUUUGUGCUUUUGGUGUCAUGUCUAAGAUUCCAAUGUCAAAAAAAGAUCUUAAAGCCUUACCCCUAUGCUUUCUUCUAAGAAUUUUAUGGUUUUGGUUCUUAUAACUAGAUCAUGUUGAGUUUAUUUUUGUAUAUGGUGUGAGGGAACUGGAAUUCUUUUAAAAUUUCCAAAUAUUCUAAGGGGCAUCACAAGUGUUAGUGAUAGAGAAUGGAGAUAAUUUACCUAUGAAAACAGUACUGGAGUACAGCUGCCGUUGGAAAUACUAAUGUUUUUGACAAAUUUUAUUUGCUGAGUCAGCUUAACUUUCAUAUACAGCCACAGUUUGUGCAGACGGUUUUGGUUUUGUGGCUGUAAACUGAUUUUUACGAGGCGCAAUAUCUGAGAAUGUUCUUUUAGCCGUGAUUAGGAGGAGGAAUUUUGGAUAGCUUUUGUUCUUUCACCUAGGUACAACCACAUAUAAGGAGAAAACUUAAGGUAGUCUUUUGAAAAUUGAUGAAUACACCUCUAAGUUGUUUCUAGUUCUUUUAUGUACAGAGAAUAGAAGGUGAAUUUAAAUGAGCUCAUAUUGCAAAAAGCAGCUUUCCUUUUUGAUUUAUAGGAUUAACUAAUCUAUUAACAGGAAAUGAUUAUCAAAUCUGAAUUGAAGUUGUGUAGGCUUUUUAGUUUUUGCAGAACACAAGUCUAAAUUUCAGAAGAAAAUGUAGUGCUCCAACAGUUAAAUUUUUAUUUCGAGUAACAGCUGGAUGACAUAUAAAGAAAAACGGUGACUUCAUUUUUAGCAGCAUCUGUUUGUAUUUCUUGAGCCCCUUUGUAUAAAAGCAAAAAGUUAGAGUAAUUGUUAGUGAAGUACAUUCUUCUGAAAGCAUCAAAUAAUUUCCUUAAAAUUUUUUUAAAAUAUGAAAGUGAUAUGUAGAUUUUAAGAAUAAAUAAAUAUUCAUAAUCCAAUUAUAUUUUAGUAAUCACUGGUAAUAGGAUAAUUCCUUUUAUCUACACAGACACAUUUAUUUUUUCCCGGUUGGGUUAAUAAUGUAUAGUGUAUAUCCUGAGCAUCUUCACGUUGUUGGAUUUCUAAACCCCGUGUGGUAUUCUGUUGUAUCUGUGUACCGUACUUUAGCCAGUCUCCUAUUGUUGAGCUUUUUAGUGUCUAUUGUCUCACCAGUAUAAGUAAUUUUUUUCAUAAACACUCUUGAUUCUUUGUGUAUUUGGUUUUUUCCCCUAGAUUAAGUUCCUCCAGGGUUUGCUCAAGGAUGUAGUAACAUUUUUUAGUUCUUGUUGUCUAUUGUUAUUUGCUUUCUAGAAAUGGUAUAUGGCGUUGCUUUUAAGUAUCCUUUCGAACCCUAAAUAUUAAUAAAAUUAUAAAACUGUGCAAGUAUAAAAGUCCAGCUUGUUGUUUUAGCUUACGUUUGUCUUAUUAAAAUAAAGGCUGGAUAUUUUCUUAUGCUUAUUAGCCAGUUAUAUUUGUUGUUAGCCAUCUGUAUAUUAAGAUUAUUAAUCCUUUUUCCUCUCAUAGGUUGCAAAGAGCUUUCGUCUAAUUUUUGUUAUUUUUAUACAGAUUUUUAAUCAGUUGUCUCAGUCAUUUUCUUCUUUUGUUAAUGUGUAGAAAGUCCUUUCCCAUCCAGUAUUAGAGUGAGUUUAUUCAGAUUAUUUCUUGGUUUCAUUAAAAAAAAAAAAAAAGUAAAGUUUCGAGCAUAUAUAAAAGUAAAGAGAGUAGUAUAAUGAACCCGUGGUGCCCAUUACCCAGCUUUAAGAAAUAACAAUCUUGUUCUAUAUAUAUUUGCCUCUCUCGAAAUCCUCCUGAGAUAUUUUGAAGCAAAUCUCAGACCAAAAAAAAAAAAACAAAACCCAAACCCACUGCCGUCAAGUCAAUUCUGACUUACAGCAACCCCACAGGACAGAGUAGAGCUGCCCCAUAGAGUUUCUAAGGGGCGCCUGGCGGAUUCAAACUGCCGACCUCUUGGUAAGCAGCUGUAGCACUUAACCACUACGCCACCAGAGUUUCCAAAUCUCAGACAUCAGAGUAUUAUUUCAUCUGUUGAUAUUUAAAGAUGUAUUUCUAAGGAUUUCCUUUUUUAAAACAUAGUAACAUGAUCACACACUCAAAAUUUAACAAGAACCCCUAAUAUUAAUCAGUGCCAUUUUCUCAUUAACUUGUAAUUAUUGUUUUUACAAGUUCGAAAUUAGGAACCAAGUAAGAUCGAUACUUUGCUUUGGGUUGUAAUAUGUUCUUAAAUUUAUUUUAAUCUGCAAAUUUUCCUUUUUGCAAUUUUUGUUGAAAAAGAAGUGUGCUUUUUUUGGGGGGGUGUACAUUUGACUGUCUAAUGCAACUGGAAUAUAUUUUGGUGAAUAUCUGAAGCUUGGAUCUACCUCUUGUUCCCCACUUGCAACAGCUAACCUGCAUCCUUUAAUAUGUAACCUUAAUUCAUUGAAUUGAAGUGCUGCUUUUAUCAUAUAUGAAGUAUUACAUAAGAAUUAUUAUGAUAAAAGUGAUUCUUCCAAUCAAUGGUAAAAUCAGUAUUGUUGUAUGUGAAAAUUCCAUUAGUGUUUUGAUUGAAAUUGUUACAUUGAUUUGUAGAGAAUCGACAUCUUGACAAUAUUGAGUUUUCCCAUCCAGGGGCAUGUAUUUUUUCAUUCAUUCGAGUGUUAAACUUUGUUUCUCAUAAUAAAUUUUCGUAUUUUUCUUCUCAGAGGCCUUCCUAUUUAUUGUAUGUUUUCCCCAAUAUUUAGUCACUUCUUGAACCUCAAGCUACAAAUUUUCCAGUGACUUAAUUCUAAAUAUUUUACUGACACUGUUCAGACAGACAAACUGAAUGUAAAAUGUAUUCAUACUUUGUGCCAAAAGAGGUUAUUUGAAUGAGGCAGGUACGUAACAGAAACAUACUUUUUUGUUUUUUUACAUUAAAUGUUUUAAAAAUCUAUUUAAAAGUAACAUGUUAAUGAAAGGAAAAUAUUCAAGCAAUACAGGAAAACUUAUAAUGAACUGUUCUCCUAGCACUGUGUCAGCUUCUCUCCUCAUUGGCAAACACUGUUAAUAAUUUUUUACAUGUGCAGAGAUAGUCGGCUAUAUACAUGGUGUAUGUAUGUAUCUCCCUUUUGUUAUACAAAUGGAUGUCACUUUUCCUUCUUUCUUUUUCUUUUUUGGCUUAUCAAUAAACCUUGGAGAUCUUUCCAAAUCAACAUAUAAAGAUCUAUCUCAUUUUUAUUAAUGGCUACAUAGUGUUCCACUGUAAUGAUGCGCUGUAGUUUAUUUAACUUGUUUUCUAUUAACAGGCAUUUAGGACCUUUCCUCCAUUAAAACAGUGCUAUGAAGAAAAUUCUUGUAUGUGUAUCUUUGUGCAUGUCUGGAAAUAUUUUUGAAGAAUAAAUUUUAGAAGUGGAAUUACUGGUUCAAAAUCAAUACAGUGCUGCCAAGUUGCCCUCCAAAAUGGCCUUACUGAUUUUACAGUCCCAGCAAGUGCGUAUGAGAACACUCAUUUUUCUAUAUCUUCACCAGUUCUGGAUGUUAUCAGUUUUUUUUAAUCUCUAAUAUGAAGGUCAUAAAUUUUUACUUCUUAUCGUCUAUGAAAAAAUACAUUUUUAAAAAAGUCUCCACAGAUGGGAAGAGUGACAAUCAGCUAUGACUGUUACUGCUGCUUGAUGUUUUUUAAAAAUCCUGUCCUGGGGGGAAAAAAAAGUCCCGUCCUGGUCAUCUUUAGACGUUUAUCCAGUUAGAUAGGGUGUGUAUUCACUUUUUCCACACAUCUUCCUAAAGAUUAGAGAUUUACAAAAUGAACCAUUGUUUUUUAGCUUGAUUUUGGGUAAUGUUAGCUACAUUGAUAGACUCCCUUUCAUCCCCAUCCGCUGCCCAGCAAAGCGAUGCUUUGUGAGGGGAGGGCUUGAAGGGGACUUUAUUCCAUCUCUGCCACCUACACCAGGCCUGUAGUCUUCUUUAAAGUACAACCAACAGAAAUUUCUUGAACACUUAAAUUCCAGGCUCUGUGCUAGAAAUUGGGGGUAUGAGAGUGAAUAAAACACACAAAACUGCCUUCUCACAGCUUACAUUCUAGCCAGGAAGACAUGCACACUGAAAAAGUAACUACAAGUGGGAUGAGUAUGACCAGAAGGGAAUUUAGCAAAAAGAAACUACAGAGGUAGAAAGCAAAGACAUUUAGUCUCUGGUGACGUAGUGGUUAGGUGCUACAGCUGUUAACGGAAAGGUCAGCAGUUGGAAUCCACCAGGCAUUCCUUGGAAGCACUAUGGGGCAGUUCUAAUCUGUCCUAUAGGGUUGCUAUGAGUCAAAAUCUACUCUACGGCAGCGGGUUUAUGGGUCUGAUGAGGAAACUAGCCAGGCAAACACACCCUAACCCUAACACACAGCACGUGCAAGAAGCCCUGAAACAGGAGAAAACAAAACAAAGAGUGGUACAAAGCAAGGUUGCAAAGAAGUGCUAUAUCCUGUAGAGCCUAGAGAGUCACGUUAAGGACUUUAUCCUAAGAAAGCUAUCGCAAGGCCUUUAGUAUGGAUGGGACACAAUCAGAUUUUAAUUUAUAGCAUUAUAAUGUGAGAAUAGAUUGGAGGAAUCUGGAUGUUGCAGUAGGCUAGGUGAGGAGAGGUGAUAAUUUGGGCUUAUGUAGUGGCAACAAGGAUGAGAAGAUAUGAGUGGAUCCGAGAAUUGCUUAGGAAAUAGAAUUACUAGGAUUGGGUGAGUUUUCCAGCUUGAGCAACUAGAUGAAUGUGGUCCUGUUUUGUUGAGAUAGAAAUAUACGCACUGAGGGACAGUUUCUUGGCUUGGCGUACUUUGACUGUUUACAAACAAUGACAUGGGAGUUUCAGGACUCCAAUGGGCAGAGACUAAUCAGGAUUAUUCCGUUGUCCCUUUUAUUCUCUACCUAGUGCUGUACUGAUCAACAACCAGGUAUUACCUGUACUGCCUUUUGGUUGACAAAGGUGGUAUUAACUUGUGUGUAUGAAUUGCUAGGUACGUGUUUUUGUUUUUUACAUUUUGUCCCAUUUUCUUCUCCUGUCUCUGUCUCUCCUUUUUUCCAUACACGCACACACACACACACACACACUUUUCUGAACGAUUUGACUGCUAGUUGUACACAGCACCCCUAUAACAUCAGCCUGUCUCUCCUAAGAAGAUACAAUCAUUACACUCAAGAAAUUUAAUAUUAGUACAACACCACUAUCUAAUAAGAAGCUUAUGUUCAAAUUUUCAUCCAGUGGUCCUGAUGUUCUUGCUAGGUUUUGUUUUUAAAGUAAAUACUAAGGAGCAAGCACUGCAUUUAUUUGACCUGUCUCUUUAAUCUAUUACAGUUCCUUAGCCUUAUUUUUGUCUUUCAUGACAUUGAAAGUUUUUGAAGUGUCCAGCUCAGCUGUUUUGCAGAACAUCGCUCAAUUUAUAUUUGCUCAGCAGCUGUCUCAUGAUCAGUUUUAAUGUUUCUGUGAGUAGAAUACUACAUAGGUGAUGUUAUAGCCAUCUCAGUGCAUUACAUGAGAAGGCAGAUAACAACAGUUUGUCCAGGGAUUACUGAUGUUAAUUUUGAUAAUUUGGCUAAGCUGUUGUCUGCCAUAUUUCUCUAUAUCCUGUUUUCCAGCAAUCUUUCAUCUAAUUUUAGCAUCCAUUCAUAAAUUUAGCCUGAACCAAUUAUUGCUAUGGUUACUAUGAAAUGGUUUUUUCUAUUUCUAUUGUCUUUCUAUAAUUAUUAGUUGACAUUCUUCCGUCUUCUUUCCCCCCUUUCUUUUUGACAUAUCCCCAUUAGUUUUUGAGCACUGCCUUUUCUGCACAAGUUGUUUAAUUCUCACCUUAUUCUUUUCCUACUCAUCUUGUACCUUGCCUGAUCAUUUUCCUGAGCAUCCCUGACUCCUUUUAAGGGGGAUAGUAUUUAGAUACCAAGACCUAGACCUGAUAUAGAAUAUUUCCAUCAUUACAAAAAGUUUUCUCAUGCUUCAUUUGAGUUGAUCCUCCCACCUUCAGCUAUAGCUUCAAGUAACCACCAGUCUCCUUUCUGUCACUGUAGAUUAAACAAAGCUUAACUCUUUUGUAGAGUUUGAUAUAAUGGAAUUAUGUUGUAUCUUUUGUGUGUGUGUGUUUGUGCGUAAGUUUUCUUUUGUUCAGCAUGUUUUUGAUAUUCAUCUUUGUUGUUGCAUGUAUCGGGAAUUCAGACCUUUUAUUGGUGCAUAGUAUCCCAUUGUAUGGAUGUACCACAAUUAAACUGUGACAGACAUUUGGAUUGCUUCCAGUUUUGGGGAACUAUUAAUAAAGCUACCAUGAACAUUUGUGUAAAAUUCUCUGUGUGGAUACAUGUUUUCAUUUCUUUAGGGUAAAUACCCAAGUGUGGAACUGCUGGUCAUAUGGUAAGUGUAAAUAUGUUUAUAAGAAAAUGCCAGUUUUCCCAAGGGACUGUAUCAUUUCUACCAUCAGUGUUUGGGAGGACCAGUUACUUCAGGUUGUCAUCAACACUUGGUAUUGUCUUUUUAAUUAGUGUGUAGUGAUAGCUCAUUGUGACUUUAAUUUGUAUUUUCCUAAUGACUAAUGAGGUUGAGCAUUUUCUCAUAUGUCUAUUGGCUAUAUGUAUAUUAUCCUUUGUGAAGUUUAUGUUAAAAUCUUUUGGCUAUUUUUAAAUUGGCUUUUUUGUUUUCUUAUUAUUACAUUAUAAGAGUACUAUAUAUUCUAGACGGACUUAUUUUUGUUCAGAUUGUAUUGCAAGUAUUUUGUCUCAUUCUGUGGUUUGCCUUGUCAUUGUCUUUACAGUGUCUUUUAAGAGCAGAAAUUUUGUAUUUUGAUGAAGUCCAAUUUAUUAACUUUCUCUUUAAUGAUUAGUGGUUUUUGUGUCCCAUCUAAAAGUAUUUUUACCUAUCUUAUAGUCAUGAAAAUUUUCUUCCACAGUUUUAACUUUUACCUUUAAGCUUACAAUCCAUUUCAAUUUAAUUUUUGUAUAUGGUAUGAGGCAGUGGCCAGGAUUUAUUUUUUUAUUUGAAUACCCAGUUGUUCCAAGACUGUUUGGUGAAAAGACUAUUCUUGUCCUCAUUGAAUUACCUAGACACCUUUGUCAACAAUCAACUGAUAAUAUAUGUGCGAAUCUAUUUAUCUUCUGUUCCAUUGACCCCUAUGCCUAGCCCUAUGUCAAUACUUCAUUGUCUUGAUUAUUGUAACUUUAUAAUAAGUCCUAAAAUCAGGUGUUAAGCCCUUCAACUUUCCUCCUUUUCAAGAUCGUUUCUGGCAUUUCCAUAUAAAAUUUAGAAUCAGUUUGUCAUUUCUACAAAUGGACUUGCUUUGAUUUUGAUUGGGAUUAUCUUGAAACUAUAGAUCAGUUUGGGGGAAAUUGCCAGUUAACAAUACUGGUUUUGAAUCCAUGAAUGUAACACAUCACUCCAUUUGUUAAGAUGUUUCCGAGUUUCUAUCUUCUGUGUUUUGUAGUUUUCUUUGGACAGGUUAUGUACAUACUUUGUUAAAUUUUUACCUAAGUAUUUCAUAAGGAGCCCUGGUGGCGCAAUCGUUGAGUGUUCAACUGCUAACUAAAGGACUGGUGAUUUGAAUUCACUAGGGGCUCCACAGGAAGAAGAGGUGGCAGCCUGCUUCCAUAAAAGUCACAACCUUGGAAAACCUCUGGGGCAGUUCUGCUCUGUCCUACAGGGUCUCUAUGAGUUGACUAGAUGGCAAUGAAUUUGGGUUUUUUUGAAGUUGGAGGUGUCAUCUGCUGAGAUUGAAGUUGGAGGUGAAGUGGGAAUACCUUCUUCAAAAUUCACCCAUCCUCAUCCCCAAAACUAUUUCAAAUUUAAAUAUAUAUUUUUGACAAGAACAAAGUACAUUCUGAAAUUUAUGUGAAGUAUUAAUGAAAAUCUUUUAAAGCCUUUAUUGUUUUAAUUGACCUGUAACACAUAAUCUAAGUAUAAAGUGUGAUUGCUGUGCACAUUCAACUGAAGACAAUUCUUUUAGCCGCCCUACCAAUUACCUUGCUGCUCUUCGGUCUCUUUUAUAACAAUGUUCCUGAGCUGCUGCUAGCGGAGAAGGUGUGAGGAUGUGGAGAGAGUGAGGGCUAACUAGGAAAAACCGGAGUAUUCCCCUCACACAGGCCAGAAAGACCCAACCCUUUCUUUAAAGUUGUUUGUCCCUAGAAGAUUUUGCAAAAUUGUCCAUCCUCAUAAGAAAAGCUACUCUCUCUUGCUGGAAGUUAUCUUUUCAUUCUUGCUUAAUCGAAACUUCCCUCUCUUAACAUCAAAGUUUGUGGCUUUUAAGUGCCUGUGCUUUCUUCCUUUAUUCCUUCUGCUUUCAAAAUUGGAGGUAUUUCAUUUUAAAGAAUCUUGGUUUUUAAUCUUUUACCUCAGUGGCUACUUUUUAAAAAAAUUUUAUUGUGCUUUAAGUGAAAGUUUACAAAUCAAGCCAGUCUCUCACACAAAAACCCAUAUACACCUUGCUACAUACUCCCAAAUUGCUCUCCCGCUAAUGAGACAGCCCACUCCCUCCUUCCACUCUCUCUUUUCAUGUCCAUUUCACCAGCUUCUAAUCCCCUCUACCCUCUCACCUGCCCUCCAGGCAGGAGAUGUCAACAAAGUCUCAAAUGUCCCCCUGAUACUAGAAGCUCACUCCUCACCAGCAUCCCUCUCCAUCGUAUUGUCCAGUCCAAUCCCUGUCUGAAGAGUUGGCUUUGAGAGUGGUUCCUGCCCUGGGCCAACAGAAGGUCUAGGGGCCAUGAUCACCAGGGUCCUUCUAGUCUCAGACCAUUAAGUCUGGUCUUUUUAUGACAAUUUGGAGUGUACAUCCCACUGCUCUCCUGCUCCCUCAGGAGUUCUCUGUUGUGUUCCUUAUGAGGGCAGUCAUCAGUUGUAGCUGGGCACCAUCUAGUUCUUCUGGCCUCAGGCUGAUGUAGUCUCUGGUUUAUGUGGCCCUUCCUGUCUCCUGGGCUCGUAAUUACCUUGUGUCCUUGAUGUUCUUCAUUCUCCUUUGGUCCAUGUGGGUUGAGACCAAUUGGUGCAUCUUAGGUGACUUCUUCCUAGCAUUUAAGACCCCAGAUGAGUGGCUACUUUUUUAGCAAUAUGGGAAGUCCCACUUUUCCCCAACAAAAUGGGUCUCAUAUAGCCAUUAAGGAAAUAAACAGAACUAACCUGAAUAUCCUUAGCAUAAGGUGACUGAUGGUGGAGGUGGUUUGUUUCGGUGCAUAUGCUUCUGUGUAUGUAUGGAUGUGGGUAGAGAGGAUAUGGAGUGGUGAGUCGGUCUUGAUGAUUUAAUUAGUCUUAGUUUCUACCAUCUGUGGAGAAUACAGGAGAUAAAGACUUAACCUAGGUGAGUUAGGGCAUUAGGAAUGAGAUCCCUGCAUUAAGACAGGAUUUCCGUACAGGUGUAUUAGAAGGGUCCUCACCUACCCACAUUGGGGGCCUGAGGACUGGUGGCUCCACCCACUCCACCGAGCCACCUGCAACGGGUCCAAGAAUAAGUAGUGACUCCCAGUCCUUACAGCCAGCAGCAUUGGGUGUCCACAGACCAGCUGUAAAACCCGUCUACUAAAUGUGCCAAUAAAGAGACAGCAAUAAAAUGGACUAAAAAAUGUGAUAUGUCUGUAUGCUGCCUACAAGAGACACACAUUAGACUUAAAGACACAAACAAAAAAUCAAAAGAGGGAAAAAAAUAUAUCAACCAAACAAUAAUAAAAAAAGAGCAGGAGUGGCAAUAUUAAUCUCUGACAAAAUAGUCUUUACAGCAAAAUCCACCACAAAGGAUAAGGAAGGACACUAUAUAAUGAUUAAAGGGCCAAUACACCAGGAGGACAUGACCAUAAUAAAUAUUUAUGCACCCAAUGACAGGCCUUCAAAAAACAUAAAACAAAUUCUAACAGCAUUGGAAGAGAAGUAGCUCCACAGUAAUAGCUGGAGGCUGCAACACACCACUUUUGAUGAAGGACGGAACAUUCAGAAAGAAGCUCAGUAAAAACACGGAAGAUCUAAAUGCCACAAUCAACCAACUUGAUCUCAUAGACAUAUACACAACACUCAACAGCAGCCAAGUAUAUACUUACUUCUCCAACGCACAUGGAACGUUCUCCAAAAUAGACCACAUCUUAGGCCAGAAAGCAAGCCUUAACAGAAUCCAAAACAUUGAAAUAUUACAAAGCAGAUUUUCUGACCAUAAAGCCAUAAAAGAGAAAUAUGGCCUCAGCCUAGACAGCAAAGGGUUUUCAUAGGCAAAGUCUCACUGAGGAUAAGUUUUUAUACUCUAUGUAUGAAAGGAGAAAAGCUCUGGAGUCAGGGACAAUCUACUCUGAGUAGGAAUUAAUACAAAAAUAAAAACCAAAACUCUAAAGGGGUGGGUUAAGUAUCAAAUGAGACAUUCUCAGGUCUAGAACUUAGAUAUGAGAAAUUUACUGAGAGUAUAUAACAGAAAGGCAAGAAAAAUGAAAUAAGAGAUAUUUAGAAAUAGAAUAGAAAUAAACUCCAACAUAAAUCCAAUUGAAGUUAAGGGGAAAAGAAUUGAGAGAAUGAGGAGAGGCAAAAUUUGAAGAGAUUAUGGUUAAGAACUUUACAAGAUGAACAGGAGCCAGCUGCAGAAUCCGGAGUGAACAAAAAGCCAGAACGUCUGCUUAUAUUCAGAUGCAGUUUUGUAAAAACUGAUAAAAUGUAAGAAUCCUCAUACUUAGAAUUCAUAGUGAGUCUUAAGAAGUAAAAUGGAUACUUGGUAGUGAAAUUGCAAAAUGCCGAAAGCUGACCAGGGAGAAAAUGCAGAUUAUUUAAAAAAGGAAUGUCGAUUAGUCUGACAGAGACUUCAUUUGCAAAAAUAAAAACUGAGACAAUGAAAUUAUAUCCUCAAAAUGCUGCAAGACCAUAACUGGCAAUCUGGAAUUUGUCCCCUGCUAAACAAAAAAAAAAAAAAAAAUUUUUUAUUUAAACAUUUAAGAGUGAGGGCAAAAUAAAGACUUGUCAAAAGAAAAGACUGAGCCUACCACUAAGCUCUCAAUGGAAGAACUACUAAAGAGGGUGGUUUAGGAAGAGACUUGAAUGGCCACUAAAAAAAUGCUCAGAAUCAUUAACGAUUGAGGAAAUGCAAGUUAAAACAAAGAGACACCAUUUAUCACCAUCACAUUGGCACAAAUGUAACAAGUCUGAUAAUAUUAACUGUGCUGUUCAGGCGGGAGGAGGGAGACUGGGAUCAAGUCAGGCAACACAGGAUUUCAAUUGUGUUGGCAGCAUUGAAGAAAAAAUGAUCUGAAGUAAGUAUAGUAAAAUGUUAAGACUUGACAGUUGGCAGAUGGGUACAAAGGUGUUCAUUGUCUUUUUCUCAGUACUUGUUCUGUAUGCUUGGAUAAAGUGAGCAAAUGAAAAAGACAGUUUUCAGGCAGCUAGGCAAAAGAGAAAGACAAGUAGGUGUGAAUAGAUGUGCAAAGAGAAUGACAGGGAAAAAAUGUGUCUUAACUAAUGAGAACAGGUGGCACUCAUUUCAGAAUAAUUGUCCUUGCAUGAAGUCUACAGAGGGAGAAAGGAGAGCUAAGAAGUCUGGAAUAAUCCAGAAGGGGUGGAGUGUGGAGGGAGGAUAAAAAGGAAGUCAAUAAAUGCAGGGUAGAAAUUACUCUAAAAGUUCUUAAAAAAAAAAUAAAGAGAGACAGUAUCAGAGUCUGAGACAAACAGUAGGGACAAAAAGGGAAUAAAAAAUGGAUUUGGAGAGGUUUCAAAGGAUUAAUUAAAUCUGCUCAAAUGUGUCAGGAUGGGAGAAAUGAAUACAAAUAGCCACAGAGAGCUGAGAAAGGGAGGGAGUGAAAACGAGUUAAUGUUUUCGUUGAACUGACAUGUGACCAUGUUUAUGUAAAUAGUUUUUGGUCUGUAGAGAAAAAUUGUAAACACCUCUAUCACAGUAGUGAAUUAUUGAGAAAAAAUCAUGCUUUGGGUUUUUUAUUUUGCUUCUGUGUAUUUAUCCAGGAAGCGUAAAAAAUCUCCCAUUAACCGCUCUUAGGCUCAGUUCUCUAGAGAAGCAAAACCAGCAAAUCGUAUAAAUAUAUAUAGAGAGAUUUAUAGCAAAGAAAUGGCUCACACGAUUAUAGAGGCUGGAACGUCCCAAGUUCAUGGAUCAGGAUAGAGGCUUCUCCUGAUUUACAUAGUUCCAGGGGCUGGCAAACCCAAGAUUGGCAGGUCAGGGAGCAGGGCUCUUGCUCACAGGCUGUGAAGAUCAACAAAUCCCAAGACUGGCAGGGAAGACCUCAAGGCUUCUCCUGAUUCACAUAGAUUUAGGGGCUGGCAAACCCAAGAUCAGCAGGUUGGAGGGUAGAACUCCUACUAAAAGGCUGUGAAGAUCAACGAAUCCCAAGAUCUGAAGAUAAGCUGAUAGCUCAAGUUCCAAGAACUGGAGGUCAGACGAACAGGAGGCAGUGCAGAGUCCGGAGUGAACAAAAAGCCAGGACGUUUGCUUAUAUUCAGAUGCAGGCCACAUCCCCAAGGAAACUCACCUUCAACUGAUUGGCUACUCACAGCAGAUCCCAUCAUGCGAGUCAUAACACAUAAACACUGAGAAUCAUGGCCCAGCCAAGCUGACACACAGUCUUAACCAAUUACAUACUCCUACCCCAGAAUAUGAGCCCAGCACUGUUUCUUCAAGAUAUGAGUGGUUCUACAGCCUGCUUUACCCCUCAGCCCCAGUGGGGAAAAUGUUGGGUUUUUGUAUUUCAGAUCCAUUGAUGGGGGUUAAUCUGGAUGACUCAGAGAAGAGGAGGAACAAGAUUGGGUUGACUGAAGGCUGAUUCUAAGAGAAACUACCUUGAUGCUGGAAAGAGUGGUGAAGAAUUGAGUCCACUGGCCUGUAGCCAUUAUUGUGUGUAUGAGGACGACUGCAGGAAGACUGUGGAGAAUGCACGCACAUACAGCAUUUUGGCCUUGAGAGUGUCUCCCUCGCUGAACCUGAGGCCCACCGCUACUUAUUUCAGGGGAAGAGAAGUAAAGGGCGUGCAUCUCCAGGACUGUGAGCCUAGCCACUGAUUUCUCUGCAUCUCAGCGCGUAUCAUUCACUCACUAAGUUGAGUAGUCAGCCUUGGACACUCCUCUGUGAAGUGGGACAAGGUAACAAUUUUUAUUACCAUCACAAAUCAACUUGCUUGAGUCAAAAGAGCAUUGCCUGAGGUCCUGUUCCUGAUCUUCACCUUCUUGUUUGCCUGGAAAGAGAGAUUCCAGCUGCAGGCAACUGACGCCAUGAAAUGCCUUUGAUUCCUACUGCAGAGUAUUGGGGAAUGAUCGUUUGUUGGGCGGUAAACAUUGUUUUCACAGUCAUAGUCAUUUUUUCCAAUGUUGCAGGAAAGACCAUUUAUGAUUUUAGCACCAAGAAAUAAAGAACAUGGUUUUCUGAUUAGCCAAAAAAUAGAAUGAUUACAAAAUAUUGCCUGAUUCAAGCGAGGCAAUCAUAAUGUUUGAUGUAAAUAUAAUUCAAACUGUCUUAAAGCUAGAAUUGGAAUACCGAAAUGUUGUUGCUUUGUAUAGAUUGCCAUACGUGAGCUUGCUUUCUUCUUGUGAGAUGAAAGCUUGCCUUUUGAAGAAAUGCAGUGCACGUGCUUUAAUAUAACAUGAAAGGAAAGGUAUUCCAUGCCAGGAAAUCACUCAUAUGAGAUGGAAUCCUUUUAAACAAAGCUGGUGGCAAGCUUUUUCUGAAAGUUUGAAGCAAGAAUGAAAUAAUCUAAAACUACGUUCAUGACAACCACCCUCGGCCUUUCAUAUGGGGUUUGCAAAGUUUGUCUAAAAACACAAACUCAGCCCUUGCAGCUCUUCUUUGUAAGCCAAAUGGUAUGCAAAGACUGCUUUUUGGGGGCUGAUUGGGAUAGCUUCCAGCUGGUGGUGAUGAUUUUUAGAUUUAUGGCAAGUUCUAGAUCUGACUGGAGACACAGCAUGUUUGAAAAAAUGAGGUGUAAGUACUUCUGGGGUGGGUUUGACCAACCAGUGCCUCUGAGAAUAAUGCACGAGUUCUGAACUGCAAGAGUAAGCAAUUCAACAAUGAGGGAAACAAGCUUGAGAAUUGGUUUUUGGCUUUUUUUUUUUUUUUAAUAGUAUUUUAUUGCCUUUUGGGUGAAAGUUUACACAGCACGUUAGAUACCCUUUAACAGUUCUUAUGCAAAUUGUUCUGUGCCGUGGUUGCAUUUUUUUUUUUAAUUUCAUAGUGUUUUAGGUGAAAGUUUACAGUGCAAAUUAGUUUCUCAUUCAAAGAUUUAUGCACACGUUGUUUUGUGACAUUGGUUGCAAUCUCCACAAUGUGUCAUCCCUCUCUCCCUUUCCCUUUAUACUCUAGGUUUCCCAUGUCCAUUCGACCAGGUUUCCUGUCCCUUCCUGCCUUCUCAUCUUUGCUUUUGGGCGGAUGUUGCCUAUUUGGUCUCAUACACUUGGUUGAACCAAGAAGCACAUUCCUUGUGUCUGCUAUUAUUUGUUUUAUAGGACUGUCUAAUCUUUGGCUAAAAGGUGGACUUCGGGAGUGGUUCAGUUCUGAGUUGGUAGGGUGUUCGGGGGGCCAUAGUCUCAGGGGUUCCUCCAGUCUCUGUCAGACCGGUAAGUCUGUUUUUUUGUGUGUGUGUGCGCGUGUGUGAAUUUGCAUUUUUUUCUACGUAUUUCUCCCACUCUGUCCAGAACCCUCUAUCGUGAUCCCUGUCAGAGCAGUUGGUAGUGGUAACCAGGCACCAUCUAGCUCUUCUGGGCUUGGGCUGGUGGAGGCUGUGGUUCAUUUGGUCCAUUAGUCCUUUGGACUAAUAUUUUCCUUGUGCUUUGGGUUUUCUUCAUUCUUCUUUGCUCAGAAUGUGAUCGGAUCAGUAGAUAUAUUUUAUUUUUUUUAUGAUUAUGGGGUUUAUUAGGGAAGUAACAGUUAAAAUUCAGGCUCAGGAACACUCAGGAUACAAUUCUUCCAUCAGGAUAGCCUGUUUCCAGCCUUUCUCUCAGGCAACCUCUCCCUGGCCCUCAGGCUUUGCCCGAAGGCACUCAGUUUUCUCACUCCAGGGGUCAGGUCUCUGCUACCACUUCUUGUUGCCUUCAGUAUUACAGCUCUCUCUCUCUGUGUCUCCUGGUUCCAGGAGCUUCUCAGUGCAGGGAUCUUGGAUCCAAAGGACACUCUCCGCUCUUGGCUUUCCUUCCUUGGUGGUGUGGGAUCCUCUCUUUCCUGCCUCUGGGGUGGGUUUUUUCAAGCCCAGCGGGGUGGCAAAACUGACCAAUCCCCUUAGUGGGCCACAAUUAACCUAUUUGCACAGUCCUACCCAAUCACUUGGGUGGGAGUCAUGACCAAGGUGAGAAAGGCCACACGAAAGCGAACCAUUACACCACAAUUUUCUAAGAAUCUAAAAUGAGUAUUAUUUUUAUACUGUAAUCAGAAGAUUACCAUCAAAGUGUAUAUUUUAGAGAAAGGAAAACAAGUGAAGGCUGAGGGGAGAGAUUCUAAUAAUAGUUUACAGGAAGCCCUGGGUUUUAAUUGACCGUAAGAUUAGUUUGAGCAAUGGGGUGAUGGAGCUGCUAAGAAAGCUACCUAAGAGUGCAUAAAUAGAAGUCCAGCUCCGUAUUAGUACCCUGCAUUGCUCAGACCACAUGUGGAAUUUUUUUUUAAUUGUGUUUUUACGUGAAAGUUUACAGCUCAAGUUAAUUUCUCAUACAAAAACUUAUACACAUACUGUUAUGUGACACUACUUGCAAUCCCUAUAAUAGAUGUAUUUUAGAUGGCUGCUCGCAAGAUUUUAAGACCCCAGAUGUUACUUACCAAAGUCGGAUGUAGAACAUUUUCUUUGUGAACUAUGUUAUGCAAAUUGAUCUAGAUGUUCCCUGAGACCAUGGUCCCAGCCCUUGACCCCAGUAACUUGGCCCCUCAAGGUGUUUGGAUGUGCCUAGGAAGCUUCCGUGGCUUUGCCUUGGUCAAGUUGUGCUAACUUCCCCUACCAUUUGUUACAAUUCUUAAAUAUGUCAGCAUUCUCAUUAUUUCCAUAAUGUUUGUUCUGUUUGGAUUGAUCUAGCUUCGCUUCCCCUCCUUGCCUUCUCACCUUUGCUUUUGAGUAAAUGUUGACUGUUUCAUAUCAUAUACAGGCAUACCUCAGAGAUAAUUGUUAGGUUACAAACCACUGCAAUAAAGCAAAUAAAUAUCACAAUAAAGUGAGUCACUUGAAUUUUUUGGGUUCCCAGUGUGUAUAGAAGUUAUGUUUACACUAUACUGUGGAAACCCGGAUGGCGUAGUGGUUAAGUGCUAUGGCUGCUACCAAAGGGUUGGCAGUUCAAAUCUGCCAUGUGCUCCUUGGAAACUCUACAGGGCAGUACUACUCUGUCCUAUAAGGUCACUAUGAGUUGGAAUCAACUUGACAACACUGGUUUUUUUUUUUUUUUUU